CUUAUAUUAUACAGUGAUUUUUGAUGUUUUAAAAUGUUUGCCAAAGGCAGUGAAAAAUGUAUAAUGCUAUGAUCUUAUUUUUAAAAGGAAAAUUGAAAAGAGAACAAGUUGCCUUUUCAAUUCAUUUUCUGAUGUUUACAUGUAGCUCCAUCGAAAGCUGGAGGAGCUCAGAGAUCAUCUAGAAGGCAAUGUGAAAGGAUACUCUCUCAGAGUAAAUCUCCACUCUAGAUUGGAAGGGCUUAAAGAUGAACUCUGGAGGAGUAGAGGCUACGACUUAAGAGUAACUAUUACUGAUCAAAGGAGCUACUUUUCCAUUCGCAAACACUGCUUUGCGCUAUGGGUUUGGGCUCCUUCUGUUUUACAUCUUGUUGGAGACUUUCUUGACUUCCAUUUGACUUUUUUGAACUCUUGUUUCUGUCUUUCAACAUUUUCCUUUCUUUUCCCUCUUUCCCAGAUUUUUCUCCACACUUUAAGCUUUCUCUUGUGUCCUUUAAAUCACUUUUCAAAACGCAAUUUUUCUUUUUAAACUUGUCUAUUAAUUUGUCUGUUAAUGUGUUUUUCUUCUUUAAGACUGUGGUAGUGUAACUUAUUUUCAUUCCACAGUAUGCCAGCUUGCUUAUUUAUUUUGCAGCAAGUUCAUUAGUCAUUCUUACCCUCUUGGUAUAAAUUUUUAAUAUGAAUUAUAGAACAUCCUCCAUUUGUACACUGUCCCCUUCUGUAAGCUCAUAGUUUCUUUUCUAUCACCUAAAUUUGUUCUCUGAACCUCUCCCUUUUCCUUUUAUUGUCCUU
rnacentral:lncRNA from 1 species